UAGAGAGCCAAAGAGUUGAGCACAACACCGACCACCAGCAUGAGACAGUUACACACCUGCAGCAGAGGGAUGGACUCUCAGUUUUUUAAAUGGUUUCUGCAGAAACAUUGUGGUGUUGUUGUAUCUCACCAUAAGAGCGACCCACAGGGCGUAGAAGUCUCGGUACAGCUGCACAUCCAGGUGGGCUAGCCUGUGCAAGUGUGGCGCCCCCCACUGCUGCUUCCAGGCACUGCAGUUAGUCAGGUCUGGAGUCAGGAGGGGCUCGCUGGAGCUGAUGUUGUCAGGAGGACUGUCCAUUGGUUAAAGAGGAUGGAUGAAUGUUGUGGUUCUGAGAAAUAAAAAGAGAAAUAUGCAUCAUCAAUGACAUUUUUUAUCUAGUGCAAAACUGUUUUAGAGCAAAAGAUUGUUUCACACAGAAAUAGACGAGAUAAGGUCAUGACAAACUGUGACAUGAAAAGUAAAAGUAGGCUUCUGUCCUCGGAAGUUAAAUUAA